CACGUAGGGGGCGAGCGUUGUCCGGAAUUAUUGGGCGUAAAGAGCUCGUAGGCGGUUUGUCGCGUCGAAUGUGAAAUCCCGGGGCUCAACCCCGGGUCUGCAUUCGAUACGGGCAGACUAGAGUUCGGUAGGGGAGUCUGGAAUUCCUGGUGUAGCGGUGAAAUGCGCAGAUAUCAGGAGGAACACCGGUGGCGAAGGCGGGACUCUGGGCCGAUACUGACGCUGAGGAGCGAAAGCGUGGGGAGCAAACAGG
rnacentral:rRNA from 1 species